rnacentral:lncRNA from 1 species
UUACAGUAGCUAGUCAAUUUCCCUGGUUUUAUUUUCACUGUUAUCUCAGUGUUUUGAAUGGGGUCUUCAGUGCUUUUUCUUGUCAUUGACCAAAGCUUAUCUUGUAUGGAGGUGCAGAGGCUAGGAGAAUAUCUGCUUUUACCAAUAACCACACCAAGGUGAUAAAUGAGAUUUCCUCCUUUUAGAAUAUUCUAACUUAGAAAAUCAAAGAGUUAGUUCAAAUAUGAACCAAUACAUUCAUUCAUUGUGGGGCAGAGUGUAUUGGAGAGGCCACCAGGCUAAGAGUGAGGGGGCUUAAACUUUAGUCCCCAGCACUAACUAGCUUGAUACCCUUAGCUGAGACACUUCUCUGUGUGGUUUCUCCUGGAAACGAAGCUGUGGAAUGGAUGAUCUUCUAGUUCCCCUCCGACUCUAAAAUUCUGCAGUAUGCGACAGGCUGCAGCAGCAUGUGACUAACACAAGGAUCAGGGAACGUUACAGUCAACAAAUGCAAAUGGAGAUGAGUUAGGACAUUCUGUGUUUUGUGGGUAUUAUCUGAGGUUCAGCUUAAACUUAGUUUUCAAUGGCUAUCAAUGAAGGAAGCCUAAAAACUGGGCCAAUGAGAUUUUAAUGUUCAAGUCUUAAGUGGUUAUGAUUAGAUCAUAACCUAAUUGUGAAAAUCACAGUGACUUCUGUACAGAAGUUGAAUGUGUGCUAUGAAGUUUAUGUGCAAGUAUAUUUUGCUUUUAUCUGGAUCUCUCAGUUUUACAUGCUUUGGGGACUAUUACUACUUUCAUAGAGUGUGAGAGUAUUGACCUUACUGCUGUGAUAUAUUUAUUCGUGAUGUGUUGGAGGCCAAGGAGAGUUAGAGUUGUGUCCUGUGGAUAGAGAAUCCAUCUCCUCCUCUUCUUGUCGAUGGCUGUUGGGGUCCCCUGUGGGUAACUGACCUACCUGUCAGAACAUGGACUCUUACUCCCACUGAGGGAGCAUCGCCAUCAACUCUGACCUUGCAGGCAGAGCUCAGCGUGCCUGCCUGAGCUGUCCUGUGCUCCAACUCCGGGGUCGCAGUGUGCUAAGACCCAAGGGAGUCCACAUGGGGAUGAGUCAGGGCCUGGCGCUGGCCCCAUGCUCCGCCCCACUGGUAAACAGAACAGUUCUUUGCCGUCACUCAGAGCCUCUCAGGGCCCCAAGACUCCAGGAAGAAACAAGUAUUGUAGAAGCCAAAACCCCAAGGCAAGAUGAGGAAACUGAGGCCCCACGUGGUGAAGACAAUUUUUACCCGAAUCCACCCACAACAAGAGACCAUUUGGAUAAUGUACAUUAUGGGAAGAGAACAGAGUCUCAGUGAAGAUCAUGUUUCCCCAGCAACACAGGUGCCAGGAGUAGCUGGCUCUGGUCCCAGCCCAGACUCAGAAAUCCUGAGCCACCAGACCAUUUCUAGAUUAACAAAGGCCUGCAUUAAUUUGAUUUCAGUGACCCACUGGAAACCAGUGUCAGCAUAACAACAGUUACGAGAGCUAAACCUACAAAAUAGAAACACAAGUAAAACUUGUUCAAGUGGUUUGCAGUCAUUGAACAUAGAUCAGCUCCUAUGAAAACAAACUCCAUGGGUUUUCUUUGAUGGCAGUUCUGCUCUAAAGAUGGAUAAGGAAGGAGGUUCCAAGAUGGCCGAAUAGGAACAGCUCCAGUCUACAGCUCCCAGCAUGAGCAACGCAGAAGACAGGGGAUUUCUGCAUUUCCAAUUGAGAACACAGGAGCUAUGUGGAGAGUUGAUGGAGGGACAUUCCAGGCAGAGAGAACAGCAAACACAAAGGCCUUGAAGGGCUCAACACCACAUGGAAGCUGCCAAGGCUUGGGGCUCGCACCAUCUGAAGACAUGGUCUGAACUCUACGUUGGCCCUUUCAGCCAUGGCUGGAGCAGCUGGAACGCAGGGCAUCAAGUCUCUUGGCUGCACACAGCUCAGGGAAGCUGGACCUGGCCCAUGAAACCACUUUUUCUUCCUAUGCCUCCAGACCUGUGAUGGGAGGAGCUGCCAUGAAGACCUCUGACAUGCCCUAGAAACAUUUUCCCCAUUGUCUUAGGGAUUAACAUUCUGUGCCUUGUUGCUUAAGUAAAUUUCUGCCUCAUUGUCAGGCUGCAAAUUUUCUA